ACGCUGGCGGCAGGCCUAACACAUGCAAGUCGAGCGGUAGAGAGAAGCUUGCUUCUCUUGAGAGCGGCGGACGGGUGAGUAAUGCCUAGGAAUCUGCCUGGUAGUGGGGGAUAACGUUCGGAAACGGACGCUAAUACCGCAUACGUCCUACGGGAGAAAGCAGGGGACCUUCGGGCCUUGCGCUAUCAGAUGAGCCUAGGUCGGAUUAGCUAGUUGGUGAGGUAAUGGCUCACCAAGGCGACGAUCCGUAACUGGUCUGAGAGGAUGAUCAGUCACACUGGAACUGAGACACGGUCCAGACUCCUACGGGAGGCAGCAGUGGGGAAUAUUGGACAAUGGGCGAAAGCCUGAUCCAGCCAUGCCGCGUGUGUGAAGAAGGUCUUCGGAUUGUAAAGCACUUUAAGUUGGGAGGAAGGGUUGUAGAUUAAUACUCUGCAAUUUUGACGUUACCGACAGAAUAAGCACCGGCUAACUCGGUGCCAGCAGCCGCGGUAAUACAGAGGGUGCAAGCGUUAAUCGGAAUUACUGGGCGUAAAGCGCGCGUAGGUGGUUUGUUAAGUUGGAUGUGAAAUCCCCGGGCUCAACCUGGGAACUGCAUUCAAAACUGACUGACUAGAGUAUGGUAGAGGGUGGUGGAAUUUCCUGUGUAGCGGUGAAAUGCGUAGAUAUAGGAAGGAACACCAGUGGCGAAGGCGACCACCUGGACUGAUACUGACACUGAGGUGCGAAAGCGUGGGGAGCAAAC
rnacentral:rRNA from 1 species